GAGAUUGGAUACAAGAGAUGAACUAGGGUUUGGAGAUGAGAUGGUGCUAAUCAAGAUGUUGAUGGUGACGAGUCCCUUCUGACGAGAGGAGUGUUGGUGGUGACGAUGGCGACGAUUUCCCCCUCCGGGAGGGAAGUUUCCCCGGCAGGAUCGUCCUAUCGGAGCUGUAGAUUGGUUCUGCUCAAGUUCCGCCUCGUGGCGGCGGAGCAUCCUCAGAAAAGCCUCCUCUUGAUUUUUUUUUUCAGACCGAAACCCUUCUU
rnacentral:lncRNA from 1 species